rnacentral:rRNA from 1 species
CCAGCAACUUGGAGGAAUGUAUAGCAAUAGCUGAUUGCAGCAACAAACAGUUGCUGCAAGAUCGACUAUGUCGAAUAAAAUUCUAGGUAGAAUUAUGAUAAUGACAUUGUCUACCUAUGUGUCUUGACCAAAUUACGUGCCAGCAGUCGCGGUAAUACGUAGAAGACUAGUGUUAUUCAUCUUUAAUAGGUUUAAAGGGUACCUAGACGGCAAAUCAAGCCUUAACAAGGGACUAAUUAGCUAGAGUUACUUAUGAGGGGGUAUUAAAGUACUGCUGGUGUAGAGAUGAAAUUCUGUCAUACCUCAUUUUCUGAAAAGAGAAAACAUGGCACAGGUAUAGGUGAAAGCAUCCCCUUAUGUGAUAACUGACGUUGAAGGACGAAGGCUUUUUGUCGCGAACAGGAUUAGAUACCCCAGUAGUCGAAGCAGAAAAUGAUGAAUGUCAUAGGUUAGAUAUUAUUUAUCCUAUAAAUGAAAGUGUAAGCAUUCCACCUCAAGAGUAAUUUGGCAACAUUGGAACUGAAAUCAUUAGACCGUUUCUGAAACCAGUAGUGAAGUAUGUUGUUUAAUUAGACGAUCCGCAAAAAACCUUACCACAAUCUGAAUAUUUAUAUCUCUUCUUUUCUUAUUGAGAGAAGAAAAUGUAUUUACAAGCGUUGCACGGCUGUCUUCAGUUAAUGUCGUGAGACUUUGGUUAGUUCCAUUAAAUUAACGUAAACCCUUACUUUAUUUUUAUAUAGAGUUGUUCCCCGCUAGAUUGGAUAUGAUAACAGGGACUAAGACAAGUC